GGAAGAAGCAAAUAAAUGGUUAGAAGAGCUUGGGCGGAGACGCUUCAGCCAAGAUAUCCAAUACACAUCGCUUAAAGGUCUCUAGAUCGUGCAAGCCCAGAAGGAUUCUUUACUCCUCAAUCACAUCCUUCACAAAGAAUUUGCAGAUAGAACAGGGAAUUGCCAUGUGGGAGCGAUAGCUUGCAUAAUCGAUGCAGUUGGGGCGGCAGCUAUAGCUACUUACACAGGCGACCUCAAAGUCUCUGUUGAUUUCAACAUUUCUUACUUCUCAACUGUUAAAAUCGAGGAAGAGGUGGAGAUUGAAGCUAAGGUAGUAGCACACAGAGGGAAGCUUUCAUUGACGACAGUGGAGUUUCGGAGGAAGAAGGAUGGAGUGGUGGUUGCUUUGGGUAAGCAAU